rnacentral:rRNA from 1 species
UACAGAGGCCUCAAGCGUUGUUCGGAUUCAUUGGGCGUAAAGGGUGCGUAGGCGGCGCGGUAAGUCGGGUGUGAAAUCCUGAGGCUUAACCUUGGGUCUGCAUUCGAUACUGGGCGGCUUGAGUCUGGUAGGGGGAUCGUGGAAUUCCUGGUGUAGCGGUGGAAUGCGCAGAUAUCAGGAGGAACACCGGUGGCGAAGGCGGGAUCCUGGGCCAGUACUGACGCUGAGGAGCGAAAGCGUGGGGAGCGAACGAGG